rnacentral:lncRNA from 1 species
UUUUUUUUUUUUUUUCUGUUGUUUUCUUUUUUUGUUGGAUAAUUUUCUUCUUUUAAUUUUUUUUGUCAAACUUCUUUUUUAAUCAUAUAUUCAAUUUUGUUAGGCAGAUUAUUUUUAAAGUAAAAAUAAUGAAAAUGGCUUGAAAACUUUGAGUUUUAACGAUAAGAACAAAAUAAAAGGUGUGAAUAGUAUCAAAAUUGACUUCUUAUAUAGUUUUUCGUUAAUGUGAACAGUAACAUGAGUUUUUCGUUAAAAUUUCAUAUUUUUAAACCCAUAUAACAAGUAAUCAUUUCUAACCUAAAAGGGAAUUAUUUUUUGCAAUAUUUUAUACAAUAACAAUUAUAAAGUAAGAGAAUUGUGGUUGAGUUAGGGCUUGUUUGGAUAUACUUUUAAAAUGUUGAAAACUCUUUUAGAAAAAAUGUUUUUGGGUUUCAAAAGCAUUUAAAGUGCUUUCUGUAAGAAACACCAAUAUGUGCUUCUUCCGGGAAGCACUUUAAGUGCUUUUCCAGGAUUUACUUGUAUUUUUACAAAGAAUUAGUUCCAAAAACAUUUUCACCAAAAACACUUUCAGUUAUUUUAAAAAUACAUCCAAAAGAGCUCUUAAACUUUCAUCAUUGUCGGCAAUCAUGUUGCGGGAUUUGUAAUUUUUUACAUAAAUUCAUAUGGUAGCAGCUAAUAAUUAGGUGACACGCAUAAGUUCUUUCAGCUCAAAAUUAUGGUAUGACCUAAAGCUAGUAAUGAGAAUAAUCAAUCUUCCCUUAAACUUGUUGUUACCCAAAAAACAAAAAAAGCAUUCAUCAUUGUGCCUAAGUCUCGAAUUAGGAUUCCUUCUUCUUUUUAAUAAAAAUGAUAAAGCAAUUUUGAAUUUUUCAUGAUGACUUGCGAAAUUGAAUAUUUGAAAUACAAGUGGAACCCCAUUGAUCGGUUCAUGUACAUAUGAGUUGAAUUUAUGAAUAUAUGAGUUUUUUUUUUUGUUGUUGUAAAGAAAUCAGCUAGCAGUUUCGUUAAGAUAAUCUAUUUUUUCAGAUGUUAGAAAAUUUACAGGUACAUUUCAACUUUUUCCGUCCACUAUCGUGCCAUUCACUAAUACCAAAAGUUGAACUCAGAAUGUGUUAUAUAAAAUAUGAAUCUAAAAUAUAUUCUCAAUUACUAGGCCACCUCGUGGUGAUUAGUGAACAUAGGAGUUAACUCUCCUAGAAACACCGGAUAACGUCAUAACUUGACUUUUUACCUUUGUUGAAACAAGUGUGCAAAUUUUUGUGAAUACUUAACUCAUUUUUGUCAUUUCAUGUGCCAAUAAGAUUUUUCUUUGGUCAAAACCAAGAAUUCCAAUGAAAGAUAUACCGGAAUAUUAUUUAGAGAAUCUUGACACGAUAUUAUUUAGAAAGUUUUGCACAAAAAAGCUGGUAUGAAAUUUUAAAUAAAAUGGAGUCACACUAAACAAACAUUAAAAAAAAUAUCAAACAAGCCUUAGGCUUUUCUUGUUGAUGAUGGUGACAGUAUUGAUGAUAACGAUGAUAAUUGUUUGGACUCGUUUCAAACUACUUUAAAAACAAAAACAUUUUUGCUCAUAAGUUUUUAUUUCUCUUAGAAAUGCUAUUGUUACAAACAAAUCGGAAUUUUUGGUACAAGUUCAAGUUCAUCACUUGGAAGUGUUUCUUCAUGAAACACCUCACAUGUGCUUCUCCAAAAUGAUAUGUGCCUCUCUAAAAAGUAAGAGCACAUUUGGAAGUGUUUUUGAAAUGAUUAAAAAUGUUUUUAAUGAAAAUGUUUUUAUACCAAUCUUUAGUAACAAUGCAAGUGAAUCUUCAAAAAUCACUUGAAAUACUUCAUGCAAAAAGCGUAUAACUGGUGUUUCUUGCACAAACAGUUCAAGUGCCUUUCAACCCAAAAAUAUUUUCUUUAAAAAUACUUUUAGUCGUUUAAAAGUACUUCAAAUGUGUAUUUUUUCUAAAAAUGCUUUUAGUCGUUUAAAAGUACUUCAAAUGUGUCUUAAUUCUAUGACCUAGAAGAACUUUUUUAGGUUUUAAUAUGGAGUUACAUCUAUAUGUGAAUAUUUUCAAAUUUCAUGGGUGGAUCAUGAUUUUUCACAAAAGAAAAAAAAAAGGAAAAAUCAUGACCCGGGGGGGGUUACUUGACAGAAGAUGUAUUCCACCUCAAAAGAGGAGGUGACUUAUGUUAUAGAAAAAUUAAUGAAAAUAAUUUGAAAAUUUUAGGUUUUAAUAAUAAGAAAAAAAUAAAAUAAAUAAUAUCAUGAUUAUUUUUUUAAUAUAAAAAUAUAAUUUUUCAUUAAAAUGAAUAUUAUUAAGAGUUUUUCGUUAAAGUACCGUACUAUAUUCUCGUAUAUAAGCAACAUACUAUAUUCUCAUAUAUAAGCAACAUAAAAUCCUAGGUUUUGGCUUCACACAGAAUCACAAUCGCAAAGAUGGUAGAGAAACUCGCCGAAACCUCGGAGGCCACCGCCGCUGCUACCGCUGAAGGCGCUAAACACAUGGACCUAGAAGCUUCAGAGCCUGCUGCCGCUCAAAAUUCCGAUGAGAUUGAAGCCAUUAAUGGGGAGGUGGAGGCAAACUCGAAGCGGGUCAGGGACGAGGAGGGGAGUGAAGGAAACGAUGCUAAGAAGACGAAGGUGGAGAAGUCGCCGGAGGAAGAACGGUUGGAGGAGAAGUUAGGGGAAGGGGAGAACUCGGGUCGGGUCAGCUUGGGUCCGAAGAGUUUUGGGUCUUCGGUGGAGAUGUUCGAUUACUUCUACAAAUUCCUCCAUUACUGGCCUACUGAUCUCAAUGUCAAUAAGGUACCCAAAACAAAGCUAUUUGAUUAUUCUUAAUCUUUUCAGCCCUAUUUUUCUUUUGCUGAAAGUUAAAGAUUGGAACUUUUUGUUAGUGUAUAGCAAUAUAAUGUAUUAUUUAUUCAAUUUGGUGUUUUGUAAUCGAGAUUAAUUAGGAUUUGGGAAAUUUAGUUUUGGGUUGUUUGCUUUCCUUCGUUUGGAUGAUCAACGACUGAGGAUUUGGGUAUUACAUAGUUUUAUGAAAUAAAUUUUAGUUAGGAUUCGGCUACAUAUGCUAAUGCGGUAUUACAAAUAGGUUUUUGUUUUAAUCAGUGAAUUUGGAGUUGUUACGUUUGAUUUAUUCAAUCUGAUUGCUAGAAAGAUCGAGGGGAGGGGAAGAAAAUAAGAGUGCAAAAGUCACCUGGCUACGGAAAAUAUUGGUUUCGAGUUGAAUGUUAUGUUUCGAAUUUGAGUGAGUAUUAUUCAUUCAUGUGUUUGACGAUAUAGUUUGUGUGAAUGUGAAUUCUCUUCGAAUUUGGUAGGAAGCUCGAUGAUGGUAGUUCUUUAUUCAAAAUUUCAAAUUCACUGCCUUGGUCUUUUGCUACAUGAAGCUAGAAUCUGUUCACAUAACUCUGGAUUUUAGUUCACAGAGUUGAAUUAUAUUUACACAAUGAGGUCAGCUUUAGAAUUUUCAACUAAAAAAUGAUGAAUUUUGUAAGAUCUGUGUAAAAUGGUUGUGAUUGUGGCAUAUAGUGCUUUGAUUUUGAGAUUGCUUCGCUGCCUUGCAUUGUAUCUAGGUUUAUUGGAUGAAGUUUUUUUAUUGAAAUUCUUGUUAUAUUGCAGUAUGAGCAUCUGGUUUUGCUCGACUUGCUUAAGAAGGGUCAUGCCGAGCCCGAUAAGAAGAUUGGUGGAGGGGUCAAGGCAUUCCAAGUUCGGAUCCAUCCGUUGUAUAAAAGUAGGUGCUUCUUCCUCAUUAGGGAAGAUGAAGUUGUUGAUGAUUUUAGCUUCAGGAAGUGUGUGGAUCAGAUACUUCCCUUGCCUGAGAACAUGAAAGCAAACGCUGAUGCGAAUAAAGCCUUAGGUGGCAAGGGCGGCAGGGGUGGUGGCAGUGGUGGAAGAGGAGGCUGGCGUGGUCGUGGAAGGGGUAAAGCCGAGAAACUAAACUAAAAUAUCAAGUUUUCUCCUUGCUGGCGGGCGUUUUGCGUUUAGCAGAGGUUCAAAGUGGAAAAUUUUUGGACCGGUUAAAUUACCUCCUUUUAUUGCACUAAACAGUUGUAUUAUUCAAAUUUUGAUUCUUAAUGGCUUCUUUCGCCGUUUCUAUUGCGAUUAAUGUACUAUGUUUGCACACUAAUACAAAAAAUUUAGGAUCUUAGCUGAAAUCAUCAACCUUGCUGUAAAAAUACACACUUUCGAAAAAUGGUGUUUUUGUUAUGGUGUAGAUGGUGAUACCACAUUUCUUUAUAAUGCUUGGUUGAGUUCAAGGACUAUUGCCCCUAAACAAUUCUUUCCAUUAGAGCAUUUCAAUCGAGAUAUAUAGAAGUCACAUUCGGCCAUCACCAAUCAAUGGCAUUUGGCCGAUAUUAGCCUAAAUUGAACAUAUAUAAUCUCCAAUCAAAUGGCAUCUUGAUAAACUUUGUAGCCUCAUGAAGGUCCACCAUCAACAUCAAUGCUAUCGUCUCCAUCUAACCACCUAUCGUUAGGUGUAGGGUUUUAUUAUAAAAAAUCUGCAUGAUAAUAGCAUUGGAAUAUCCUAUAUAUAAGUUGGGUUGUAUUUUGUCAUAUGGCGAUGUGAGAAGAGAAUCUAUUCUCCAACAUGCUCCUUCACGAGUGACGACACAUAGUGUCAUAAGUCAUUGAUCGACCGGUCAUAUUUCAAUCUUUAGUAUGUCAUUAUUCAGCCUUUGCUGUCAGUUUUCGAAGGCUCAGUUGUUCAGUAGCCUUAAGUUGGAGAUAGCGCAUCUUUCGAAAGCCCAACUUCAAAAAGCGUGUUCAAGUCCAAUAAAUCGAGCCCAUGACAUGUCGAAAGAAUUAUAUUUUUUAGGGCUAAAAUUGUGACCAGGCACUUACUUUUCCCCAUCUUUACAUCUUUCCCAUUGGAGGAAGACUAAAAUAUACAUUUCUACAAUGUAAAAUAAGAUGUAAAUAUGGCUUUUACAUUCCAAAUUUGUAUACUUACACCUUAAAAAGUAUAAACAAGAAAUGUAAAACGCACAUCUUUCAAUAUAUUACAACUCCCAUUAAAAAUGCUUUUACAAAUUAAGAUCCUAUAUGGAAUCUUUCUUUCACAUAUUGCUCAACCUUUAUUACAGUGGUGGAAAUAUAUUGAACUCUUGCAUGACGGCGUGGGUUCAAAUCCCGUUGAUGACUAAUUUAACAUCUAAUUUAACAAAAUUUAUCUUUUAACAAAAACAAAAAAAUAGCAAGAAGUUUUAACCAAAAUGUUAAUCAAGUACUCGGUGCUUGUUAUUUUGUAUUUUUGAUGAACCGGAAGAGAGAAUUUGAAUUCAAAUAUCCAUCAAUAUUGGGAACAAAAAUUACUCAUUGUCCAUUUUUAACCGCAGAACUAUCACCCCUACUCAUUGCUACUAUAAGACCAUCUCCAGUCAAGGAAGAUUAAAUGUAGCUAUUAGUUAUGUUUUUAGUCCUCUUAAAAUAAAUAUUUUAAAGACUAUUUUAGGGCUAAAUUUUUCCAUCUCCAUUCAUCUAUGGCUAUAUUUUUUCCUUUCAAAUUUUAUUACUUUUUGGGUCAAAUUUAGUUUGCCAUGGGACUACAUGUUGCCCAUCUUGAAGCCAAACUUAGCCUGAUUCUUGCUACUUUGUAAUUAGUAAUAUGAUAUAGUAGUGUUUCUUUUUACUUGUAAGUGAGAGGUCUUAGGUUCGAUUCUCACCAAUGAAGAAUUUGAACAACAUUAUUGAUUGCCCACUAUGAGGCUAAACCCACUCCAUUCUCCUUAGAUAAUAUAAUUUGUUUAAAAUAAAAAAAAUAAAAAAUAAAAAACUUAGCCUGAUUCAUUUAGCCGUUUGGUUUGAGACUGGUUUUGUAAAAUUUAAAGCUGGGCUCAUUCGGAUGUGCUUUUAAAAUUACUGAAAACACUUUUAGAGAAAAUAUUUUUUUUUGUUCCAAAAGCACUUAAAGUGAUUUAUGGAAGAAGUACAUAACUUAUGCUUCUUCCAGGAAGCACAUAACUUGUGUUUCUUCCAAGAAGCACUUUAUGUGUUUUUCCAGAAUUUACUUGCAUUUUUACUAAGAAUUGAUUAAACAAUUUCACCAAAAGCGCUUUCAGUCAUUUCAAAAAUACAUCCAAACGAGCUCACAUAUAGCGUAUGACCCUUGACAAGAGAUGGCCUAACUCUUCUAUGUUCUAAUUGGCCACCACUCAUAUGCAAUAAUAAAAAAAAUGAAAAGGUCACAUAGUACUGCAGUCUAGUAGUAUUCUUCUUUACUUGUACCUGAGAGGUCUCAGGUUCGAUUAUUGCCAAAUGCGAGUUUGAACCAUAUUAUUGCUAGCCAAUUGUGAGGUUAAGCUUACUCCCCCCUAGAUAAUAUCAUUUGUAACAAAAAAAAAUGAAAAAGUACUUCUUAAUUAAUCAAACUAUUCCUAACUGAUGACAGAAAAUAAAUUCUACAUGAUAUAGUAUCUCCCUUCUCUUCCCACUAAUCAUAACUUCAUAAUUUAAUGAAUAAGCCAUUAAUUUGUAAAUGAUUAUUGAUACGUUACAUGCAUCCAUAUUAAAACCCAAUCCACAGUGUAGUGUAAUUAAUCUGAGCAAAGUUAUUUUUUACAAUUUGAAAAAUGAACAAAAAACCACAAAAAAAUUAUAGAGCAUAAUCUUAUUUUUCAAAAUUAAAAUGGAUAGGGUGAAUCAAUUUAAUGCCAUAUAAUAUUCGUUCACGAAGGAAAAUAAUAUGAGACUUCUAUAAAAAUUUUGUUGAUUUCAACCUGUAUAUCCAGUAUCCACAAUACUUUUUUCUUUUUAGAAAAAAUUAGGUUCUCAUCCUUUCUUUUGCUACUCCAUUGAUUAAAAUCUUAUUUCUUUUCAAUUUUUUAUCAAGGUCCUUGGGUAUUAAUAACAUCAUUAAUUAUUUCAAUAAUAAAAUAUUUUUUAUGUCUAAAUAUAUUCAUUUAAUGUUAAAAAUGUUACAGUUAGUAUAUUUAUAUUUAUGACUAAAUUUUUUAUCAUAUAUUUUUAGUUUUAGUUUGUACCCAUUUUUAAUUUGUAAUUCUUUUUUAACUUGUACCAAUUUUCUUUUCGGUUUUAAUUUGUACCCAUAUAUUAAUUUCUUUUUGUGCCCAUAUUUUUUAAAGUUUAUUUGUAUUUGUACCCAUAUUUUUUUUGUAUUUGUACUUUUUAUUUUGCAAAAUGUACCCAUGCUAAUUAUAUGUACCCAUUCAUGUAAAACUUUUUAAUCUUAAAAUAUACUCAUUCUUAAAUAUAGCAAUUUGUUAUAUGUAAAAUGUACCCUUUUUUUAUAUAAAAUCUAUUCAAUUUUUUUCCAAUCCAUUUUAAACUUAUAUGGGUACAUUCUUUUUUCCUUGAUUUUAAAAUGUAUCCAUGUCAAGUUUAAUUGAAGAAAUUUACUAAUAUUAUUAAGCCUAAUAUCUUUCUUUUUUUGUGAUUUUGAAGAAUGUACCCAUGUUUUGAUACAAUAAUUUUUUGGGUUAAUUUUGAUGAAUGUGCCCAUGUUUAUACACACACACACACACAAACACAAUAGUAUAUUUAUAUUUUAAUAUUUUUAAUCCCACAAAUUAUGGUUUUUUUAUAUUUAAAAUCUCAUUUAUAUAAACAACUAAAAUUUCUAAUUUUUAAUUUAAAAAAUAUAGUAACGUACAUAGAAAUAAAUUUUUACAUUAAUUUCAGGGACCUUGAUAAAAAAUUAAAAACCAACAAGAUUUCAAUCAUAAAAUAUUCAUAACUAAGGACCGCAUCCAAAGUUUUUUUAAUUUUAUUAUGCUUAUAUAUCCUUCAACUUGUACAGAUGAAAGGGUGAUGAUCCUGAAAAUUAUUAGGAUAUUGAAAAAUAAUUUGAUCCGAAUGACGAAGGAGAGACGUAAUAAUUCCAAAAGGUGAACAAACGUGACCGGAAAUGAUAAUCAUAAACAUAUAGAUACGGCUACUGCUGCCCAGAUUAUGGUUCCAAGAUUACUAACUUCAAGCAAAUAUGUAGGUAGCUUCUGUAGAAGUAAAAUCGAUGACACGUGGCAAUCAUGCAGCACACUUCUAUGUCCUUAAGUAAUUAUAUUGCAGCCAAACAAAUUACAAAGCAAAGAAUGAUUUCAGUUGAGUAGAGUAUGGUUAAGUAGCAAAAUCAAGAAAGAAAUUAAGAGAAAAAGGAAGAAUAAUCAAAUUAAUUAACUGGUGUGGUGGUGGGAGGUGUGGCGGCGCACGUUCAUGUAGGCUAAUGAUCAUCACGAAGCCCUCUUAAUAAUCAAUUAAAAGAAAUAAUUAUGUGUUUAGGAGGAUCCAUUAAUACAUCUUGUAACUCUCGCUAGGUAAUAAUUAGGCACGCACAGUGAACAAUGAAUGAAUAACACUCCUAAACACUCCAUAUUCAUGCAUGGGAUUUUUAUCCAUGCGAUAUAUAUACCCACUACUCGUCUCUUCUCCUUCCUCAUCCUCCUGUACAUUCUCUCUCUCUCUCUCUCUCUCUCUCUCUCUCUCUCUCUCUCUCUCUCUCUCUCUCUCUCAUCAAAUGGCUAGUCAUUCACCAAUGGGUUGGCUGGCCAAGUACGACGUCGUCAAGGAUCGUGGUGAAGGUCAACCUCACAUUUCCGGUGUGUGAAUAUUAUGGACUUUUGCAUACACACACACACACAUAUAUAUAUUUCAUCGUGUUUUACUUUUAAGUGUUUUUUUUAUUUUUUUUAAUUUCUUGUGGAUGUUAAUUAUUUUAGGGGGUAUGCAUGCGAUUGGCAAUUUGAUUUGCCAAUAGUACAAGAUCAUAGAUUUCCUGAUCAUCCUCUUCCUUCACUCGAGAGCUGUGUGAAUAUUGAUCCUAUUUACUGACACUUCGACACCAAUCCGAACUUGCACAUGUUCAGUAGGUACUUUUUUCGAACUUUUAUUGCAAGUGUUUUUUUAAUUUUUUUUAAAUUCUUGAAGUCAGAUGUUAAUUAUUUGUUAUUGCACGAUUGCAGAAUGAUGAAAAUGGAAUUACGGACAUGAACGAUUCGAGGGAAGCGAGAUUUAGAUUAGCAGGGAAAAAUGAAAAGAAAUUUGUUUGGAGUUAAUUCUAAUGAUUAGUGGUGGUCUUCUAAAAGACAUCAGCAAUUCAUCAAAGCAGCAACCUCUCAUUCCUUUUGGAAAUUGUCUUCAGACCAUUUCCAGUCUUCUACUACAUCACUCAGGCUGCCAAGGAACUCAACGUAGGGCUAACUCUUCUGAAGAAAAGGUGUCGAGAGUUGGGCAUUCGUCGUUGGCCUCAUCGGAAGUUGACCAGCCUUCAAACCCUAAUCCGAAACAUUCAGGUCAAUAGGCGUUACAUAUUUGUACGUGUUCGUGUCUGAUUCGAAAAAAAAUGAAUGUGUAGCGAUUAUAUCGUUUUUAUGCAUGCAGGAGUUAGGAAAGGAAGGAGAGGAGGGCGAAGAGAAGCUUCGAAACGCGAUCGUGUUGCUGGAGAUGGAGAAGAAGCUGCUGGAGGAAGCUCCUGAUAUGCAGCUUGAGGACAAUACGAAGCGUCUAAGGCAGGCAUGCUUCAAAGCAAAUUACAAGAAGAGGAAGAUCAUGGGGACGAAGGUUAUGGAAAAAUCACAAUCAUCUUUUAGUUGCAGCAACAGUCAGUAUCCAACAAGUUCGAUGGAUGCUAACGAGGAAGACGAAGAAAUCAAGUCUCUAUUGUCUGACUCUUUUUCCUCGAAUAACAAUGCAUGCAUCACUCUAUUUUAAAUUUUAAUCAGUUGGAUUUUCUUUUUAAUUUAUUUUUAAUUUAUUUUUCAUGUUUUUUUUAUAUUUUAAUUUAUUUUUAUUUUUAUAAUUUUCCUCAUCAGACUUCAUGUUUUUCGAUUUUAAUUUUAGUGAUAUAUUAUGAGUGUUUAACUUCAUGAGCAAUGGGGCUCUGAAUUGAAUACAGUUGAUCCAAAUCCAAAUCCAAAUUUAUGUUAUAUUCUGUUUUAAUACUUAAUUUGCACAAAAGGGAAAAUUCGACUUUAGCACAAGUUAUUUAAUUUUGAAUUUCUUCCUCAAUAAAUUGACUGAGAUAAUGGCAUUUUUACAUCAUGCUAUACGAAAAUUUUAAUGGCAUUUAUACUAUAAAAUGUAAAUACAUGUGUGGGUCUCACAAUAAAAUCCACAAGCAUCAACGAUUAGAAAUUAGUGAUGCAAGUUACUUCCAAUGCUCUUGCAAAGUUGGUCGAACAGGACAUAUGGUCAAGUGAUUACGCGAAAUAUUGUCUCAUUCGCGAUACAAACACUUAUACUUGGCACCUUGUAUUGCGUUUGAAAGAAUAAUUUGAAGUGUCUCAAGCUUAUAGAAGCAUUUUCUGAAGGAAAAAUUCUUCUUGAGGAAGCAUUUUCAAGAAUUUGGCAAAAGCUUUUUAAUAAAAUGUUUAACUUGUUUAUAAUAAGGGUUUAACGUGUUUAUAAUAAAAACAUUUAGCUCUGGCCGGAAGUAUAUGCCCAGAUUGACGAGCUCUUCCUUCGCGCUGCGGCGAAUAAAAAUGCUUAUGUGUUUAUAAGGUUCUUGUCCCUCGCCGUCGCUCUUUCCCCAUGAAAAAACAUCACAUAUUCCCGCCAAUUCUUCGACCAAAUACCAAAGCCGACGGCUUUUGACUACAACAAAAUGAUAAGAGCUUACUCCAAGAGCGACUCGCCGGCGGAGGGGUUUUAUCUGUUCAGAUAUUUGCGGCGGCGCGGCCUUUUAGCUGGCUCUAUGGCGUCGUCUUUCGUCAUCAAGUCUUGCAUUAGAGUUUCGUCGUUGGUGGGUGGGAUUUAGGUGCAUGCUAGGAUUUUGAGAGAUGGGCAUCGAUCAGAUAGUCUUUUGCUCACGGCAUUGAUGGGCUUGUAUUCGACUUGUGGUAAGCAUGAUGAAGCGUGUAAAGUGUUUGAUAAAUGCUGAAGAGAGAUACUGUGGCCUUGGGUUUGUUUGAGAUUAUGCAGAGUGAGGUUCAUAGGUGUGAGCCUGAUGACGUUACGUGUUUACUUGUGCUCCAAGCGUGUGCCAGCUUGAACGCGUUGGAGUUUGGCAAACGGGUUCAUAAGUACAUCGAAGAACAUGGUUAUGGUGGUGCUUCAAAUUUGUAUGACUCUCUUGUAUUGAUGUAUUCACGGUGUUGGAGUUUGGAUAAGGCGUAUGGGGUGUUUGAGGGAAUGCAAUAUAAGAAUGUGGUUUUGUGGAGUGCGAUGAUUUCUGGGUUGGCGGUGAAUGGUUAUGGUAGAGAAGCUAUUGAAGCGUUUGGAGAGAUGCAGAAAAUGGGUGUUUUACCUGAUGAUCAGACUUUUACUGGGUCUUUGUGCUUGCAGCCAUUGCGGUUUGGUUGAUGAAAGGAUGAUGAUUUUCGAUCGUAUGAGCAAAGAGUUUGGGGUAGUGCCUAAUAUCCAUCACUAUGGGCGCAUGUUUGAUCUUUUGGGUCGUGCUGGUCGACUUGAUCAGGCCUAUCAGCUCAUAACAUCGAUGAACAUGAAACCAGAUCCGACAAUAUGGAGGACCUUACUUGGGGCUUGCAGAAUUCACGGCAAUAAUUCCCUUGCGGAACGAGUGGUAGGCAAUUUGAUUGAACUCAAGGCUCAAGAGGCAGGGGAUUAUGUCCUGUUGAUGAAUAUUUUCUCUUCAGCUGGAACCUGGGAGAAGCUAACAGAAAUGAGGAAGUUUAUGAAGGAAAAAGCAAUUCAAACUACACCGGGAUGUAGCACGCUUGAACUAAAGGAGUAGCACACGAGUUUGUUGUCGAUGAUGUUUCACAUCCGCGGAAGGAUGAAUGAAAUCUACAAAACGCUGCGUGAGAUUAAUAGCCAGUUGAAGAUUGCUGGUUACGUUGCAGAUGUAACAUCUGAAUUGCACAACUUGGGAGCAGAAGACAAGGGGCUCAUCCCCUCUUACCACAGCGAGACAUGGGCUAUUGCUUUCGGUGUCCUGUCAACUACUCCCGGCACGCCAAUCAGAGUGGCCAAGAAUCUUCGCAUUUGUGUUGAUUGCCACAAUUUUGCAAUGGCUCUCUCAGGGGUUUACAACAGAGAGGUAAUCAUCAGAGACCGCACCCGGUUUCAUCAUUUCCGAGAGGGACGCUGCUCCUGCAAUGGCUAUUGAUAGGAAAACUGAAGAUUUACAGAAGAUGAGCAUUAGGGAACAAUUUUCUGCAUUUGUGAACAAUUUUCUACUGAUUCAAAUAUCGAACAUAAGAAAGCAUGUAGAAGAGGAAAACAAGCAUUGCAAUUGAAAAGUAUGAAUUCACUUUCUUCGAAUUUAUUUUCGCAUCAGAAGCUAGCCCUUGCAUACACGCAAGAUAGAAAUACAUGAUAUUCCUAAAAACUCAUGAUCGACCAGCCAAGUUAUAUCAAAACUGUCACUACAAGUUUCCGCCCGCAAGAGAAGGCUUAUAUUCUUCAAUCUACAACAAUAGAAGCAACUCUGUAUUUCUUCCGAAAAUAGCUUCAACAUAGAACACUGAAAGGAUACCGACUUCAUUCUACAAAACUGAAAGUACUGAUGCAUUGCUAAAUCUGCUAAAAAAUAUCUGUAAAGCAUUCAUUAGAAUGAGGUAAUAGAAGCUUCUGAUAAUAGCGACCUAAGCAGUCACGGUCUGCUUGUUGGCAAAAGCAAUACCCUUCUCAAUGCUGGCUUUCAGUUCCGGCUUGAGUGCUUCCAACGCCUUUUGCUCAUAUUCUGUCAAACCUUGGAGGUCAGACGGUAUGAAAGCUUCAAUUCCAUUCCUUCCAAGCUUAACCCUUGAUGCAAAGAAUGGAAGCUCGGUCAGAUCAGACGCUACAUAUGAGCACUCAUAGACAUCCCCAUCUCCGUCCAGUGCACGCAGAGAUGACUCAACAAAUCGAGCUGCUGCAUAUGCCAUUGACAAUGUCGCGGACCCAGCACCUGCCUUUGCCUCUACAACCUCGGUUCCAGCAUUUUGGAUCCUAACAGUUAGCUGCUCAACUUCUUCGUCAGUGAGGCUAACAGAGGGGUUUGUCCUGGAUAGCAGGGGUAGAAUAGUUAUCCCAGCAUGUCCUCCGACAACUGGGACAUCAACAUCAAUCAGUUUCAGAUUCUUCUUCUGAGCAACAAAUGUGUUCGCCCUCACAACAUCCAAGGUAGAAACACCAAAGAGCUUCUUUGGGUUAUAAACACCCUUCUGCUUCAGAACUUCGGCAGCAAUUGGCACCGUGGAGUUCACCGGAUUACUGAUAAUAUGAAUGAAUGCAUCAGGGCAGUUAUCUGCCACAGCCUCGAUCAAGUUCUUCACAAUGCCGGCAUUGAUGUUGAAGAGGUCAUCGCGGGUCAUACCGGGCUUUCUUGGAACACCGGCAGGAAUGACCACCACAUCCACACCUUUCAAGGAAUUGGGCAACUCGGCAGCUCCGGUGAAAUCAAGAACUUCAGAAGGAGUGUUGCAGUGACUCAAGUCAGCAGCAACACCCUUGACAUUAGCAAUAUCGUAAAGAUGCAGGGAGGAGACCAAAGGCGACAUCUUGAUCAGAAGAGCCAAUGGCUGACCGAUCCCACCGGCAGCUCCAAGAACAGCUACUUUAUACGAGGCCUGGGGCUGGAACUGAGACUGAACCACCAGCGCUUCCUUGUGGGCUUUUCGAGCGAAAGAAGCUCGAAGAGCCGAUGCAGUUUCUUUGCCGGAGAACGAGGUCUCGGUUUCACAAUUGAAAGAUGGGGUUGCCUUGAGCCCAUUGAAAGAGCUCUUGAGAGGGUUUUGGGAGUUGAACCUCAAAGCACAAGGCUUUGACUGCUGAAACGCCGCCGCUUUGUGGCCGAGGGAACAAUUAGUUCCGACGGAAAAGGCAGCUGCUGAUGUUGCUGCCAUCUCUCACGCUCUGUAGCACGCAGAAAUCCAAAUCGAACUCAAAAACUUGAAUUCAAAACACAUAAAAAGCAUAAAAAUUUGACAUCCGAAUUCCGUUGAAAUGCAACCCAAUUCACCAAAUGAAAAGAUAGAUUCUGGGUUAUGUCUAAAACAAUAAAAAAUAAAAAAUAAAAGAUUUCAAUCCAUUGCUCAGAUUCAGAAGCAAAAGAAGUGAAGAACUACACAGCUGGGAAAACUCCAAAAAAACCCAUUAGAUCUGAAACUAUUGCUCAUAGAUCCGUGAGUGUACGAAAUAAACAAAAAAACAAAUUAAAUCUUCAGAAACAGAGUUGAAAAGUUCAUACCUUGAGGAAGAUGAACGCCAACAACCAGAGAGCCACGGAGACGCGAAAUGGCAAAAGGAGGGAUUUAGAGAGAGAAUACAAGAGGAGAGAGAGUGGGUUUUUGGACCUUUUGGGGGUUUUGGCUUAUUGAGUUCGUGAGAAGCUCCGCCAAUGGGCCUCGGAUGAAUCCACGUUCCACACCAUUUUUUCCAAUUUUUUAUUUGUGUUUGACUAUACAGUGGGCCAGUGCACAGCGACUCUCUCCUUUUUUGUUCGCUUCAUCCUGCCGUUAAUCUCUGAUUCCUUCCAAGUUCCAACGGAUGCGAUUAUUAGAAUAAAAUAGGAAAUACUCAACCAACCUUCGUUGGCGAAAAUUAGCUCUUUGCCACAAGUAGAAGGAUCAUUUAUACUCCAACCGUCACUAUGGCGGUAAUUCAAACCAUUAACAUAUUUUUACGUGUAGAAUUUUCAACACAGGACAACGUAUUAUUAGUUUAAGAUACUAUUACAAUGAUAUUUUGAAGGAGAAAUUUUACAACGAUUCUAAAACAAUGACGGACAUAGAAAUUUAUAUAUGCUAGAUCUCAUUACACAAACUUGGAAUUUCCACUCAAAUCUGUUGAAUUCAAAGAGUUCAUUCCUCGUUACAUGAGGAAAAACAAAAAAUUACACAAACAACAAGGCUUCCUCCUUUCAUACAGUAAUUUUCUCCAUCUCCCUCCUGAGUGCAUUAGCCCUAACCAAGCUCCCAAUGGUAUUCACAGCCAACUUCAAAUCCUCCCACGGAUUCCCCGGCACCACCCUCUUGUACAAGUAGCUAUCGAACGUCAUCUUCUGCACGUACUCAUCCGCACACAUCUCCACGAACGCUUCCCUCGCGGGGUUCGACCUAUAGAACACCUUCUGCAACACAUCCAACACCUUGUAAGUAGGCCAAUAGGUCUUGUCCCACUUCUCCAAGUACGUCCUCAAGUCCGCCUCAUUCACCAUCCUCUUCCCAUUCUCCGACCCCUCAACUAUCGCCUCGGCACACAUCCUGCCACUCUUUGCUGCAAAGUAGAUGCCUUCACCAGAACACUUUGUUACGUACCCUGCUGCAUCACCAACGAGUGCUACUCUGCCCGCCAACCUUCGUGGCCGGGGGUGUUCUGGAAUUGGAUGCGCCUCCACCCGGAGAAUUUUGCCGCCUAGAAUCUUGUCCUUGGCUCUGUUUCUUGUUGCUAGUUGGAAUUUCUUGAUGUCUCCUUUGUGUGUCACAGUGCCGGUACCAACUGCUACAUGGUCACAUUUCGGGAACACCCACCCGUAAAAGUCUGGUGAGACAUCAUCGCCGACAUACAUCUCAGCGAGGUUUUCAUAGUACACCAUCUUGUCGUCGGGGAUUUUGAUUCUCUCCUGAAAAGGCCGAAACCAAGAAUUUAAUAAGAACGAACCAAACAUUGAACCAAAUCAACAUCUAAUGCUACUCCAUGAACUUUGAAUUUGGUAAUCAUUUAACAACAUACACAUGAGCAUGGUCAUAAAAUUCGAGAAAAUUUCAGGUUUCAAAGCGGUUCAAGUGUUAUUAGCACAAAAUUUCCUAUGGUAGCCACAUUUUCACGACAUUGAACCAAAUCAUAAGAACGAACCAAACAUUGAACCAAAUCAACAUCUAAUUUUACUCCAUAAACUUUGAAUUUGGUAAUCAUUUAACAACAUACACAAGAGCACGUUCAUAAAAUUCGAGAAAAUUUCAGGUUUCAAAGCGGAUGGCGUGUUAUUAGCACAAAAAUUUCUAUGGUAGCCACCUUUUCACGACUGAUGACCAAUGCAUACCUGAAAACUAUAUCUCAAUUUCGAGUAAUUCAUUGAUAAUUCUCUUACAGUUCAUCAAAAUUACUGACAUAAUGUUAAUUAACAACUUCAAAUCACAUGCACUGAGCCUAGUUCAUUGACAAAACACCAAAUUCUGCAAAUUGAUCGUGAUUUCAAACACAAAGCACAACAAUUGACUGCAAAUAAUUAAUUAAGUAGCAAUUUUCAACGCAGAUGUGAGUUAGACCAGUUUGUCGGGCCCAUUGCACUAGUUUGAGUUCCCCUUCGACCGAAUUCGAGAUUAGAGUAGUUUAGAAUAUCGUAAUUUCCUAAAAGGAGAAAAAACAAAGCAAGUACAUAAUUAAUUACCUGGAAGGCAAUAGCAUACUCAUAAUCACCAGCAUCAAUGCUCUUAGCCACUCUGGAAUUCGCCCCAUCAGCUCCAAUCACCGCAUCAACCUCCAUCGUCUUCUUCACGCCGGCGCCGCCGGCCUUCCCGUCGUACUCCGUGUAAUGCAGGACGUACGGCGCCUCCCCAUCUCCCGGCUUAUCCAUCUUCAAAAACAACCCAUUUAUCACCGUCGCGCCGUUCUCACUCGCCCUGUUCCUCAGGUACUGGUCCAGCACCUCCCGCCUCACCAUCCCAAUGUACUCGUGCGGCUUCAGGGUCUGCCCGAUGUCCACCGCCACGUUCGACGGAGAUAUCAUCUUCAUCUUGGUGACGCGGCGGUCGAUGAUGUCUAGCGGGAGGUCGAACUCGCCCACCAUGCAGAGCGGGAUGGCCCCGCCGCAGGGCUUGCAGUUGUCCAUCUUCCGCUCGAUGAGGAAUGUCUCGACGCCGCCCUUGGCUAGAGUUUCUGCGGCCGCACCGCCGGCGGGUCCGCCGCCUAUGACGGCGACGCGGAGGUUUCGACCAGUGACUUUUGGGCUGGUCUUGGCGGCUUUGACUUGGAGGGUUCGGCGGUUUGAGGAGUUCGGAGAAAUGGGUUUUGCUUGCAUUGUGAAAUGGGUUUUCUCCGCGGCGGUUUGGCGGAGGCCGAUGAAGGAUUUCAGGGCGAUGGAGGUCAUUUUCUUGGUCGGAGCAGCUGUAGCAGAGGAGGUGGAGAGGAGGGUGAGAGUGGC